GUAAAAGUCGUAACAAGGUUUCCGUAGGUGAACCUGCGGAAGGAUCAUUACCUAGAGUUUGUAGACUUCGGUCUGCUACCUCUUACCCAUGUCUUUUGAGUACCUUCGUUUCCUCGGCGGGUCCGCCCGCCGAUUGGACAACAUUCAAACCCUUUGCAGUUGCAAUCAGCGUCUGAAAAAACAUAAUAGUUACAACUUUCAACAACGGAUCUCUUGGUUCUGGCAUCGAUGAAGAACGCAGCGAAAUGCGAUAAGUAGUGUGAAUUGCAGAAUUCAGUGAAUCAUCGAAUCUUUGAACGCACAUUGCGCCCCUUGGUAUUCCAUGGGGCAUGCCUGUUCGAGCGUCAUUUGUACCUUCAAGCUCUGCUUGGUGUUGGGUGUUUGUCUCGCCUCUGCGUGUAGACUCGCCUCAAAACAAUUGGCAGCCGGCGUAUUGAUUUCGGAGCGCAGUACAUCUCGCGCUUUGCACUCAUAACGACGACGUCCAAAAGUACAUUUUUACACUCUUGACCUCGGAUCAGGUAGGGAUACCCGC
rnacentral:rRNA from 1 species